rnacentral:rRNA from 1 species
GACGAACGCUGGCGGCGUGCUUAACACAUGCAAGUCGAACGGGCCUUGUCCCCUUUUUUUUUGGGGGUGGGGUUAGUGGCGAACGGGUGAGUAACACGUGAGUAACCUGCCCCUCACUUCUGGAUAACCGCUUGAAAGGGUGGCUAAUACGGGGUGUUCUGGCCUGCUCGCAUGGGUGGGUUUGGAAAGAUUCGACCGGUUUUGGUUGUUUUGGUGGGGGAUGGGCUCGCGGCCUAUCAGCUUGAUGGUGGGGUGAUGGCCUGCCAAGGCUUUGACGGGUAGCCGGCCUGGGAGGGUGGGCGGUCACACUGGGACUGAGACACGGCCCAGACUCCUACGGGAGGCAGCAGUGGGGAAUAUUGCACAAUGGGCGCAAGCCUGAUGCAGCGACGCCGCGUGAGGGAUGGAGGCCUUCGGGUUGUGAACCUCUUUCGCCAGUGAAGAAGGUCCUGCUCUUUGUGGUGGGGUUGACGGUGGCUGGGUUAAUGAAGCGCCGGCUAACUACGUG